rnacentral:lncRNA from 1 species
GGGGACUCGGCCGCCAUGUUAGGAGUACUGGGACGAUUCCGCGGAGCCGGGCAGAGGUUUUAGGGGUGCGCAGGAGUCAAGUGGUGGUUCAGUGGGGACGGAAUGAUUAACAAAGGCGUCCGAAGAAAUCGUUGUUGGAAGGUGACCAAGGUGGAAAGAGACGUUGCUUUGGCCCUGCAAGUAAGAAGAGAGAGGGAAUAGCCUGAAGGAGUAACACUAAAUUUAAAAUGACACUUUUUUACCAACCAGCGAAAGCAGAUGUUCAAAGGGGAUAUUGGCCAGAGUCUGUCACACUAAGAUGAGAAAUGUCCUUUCUUCCUGAAGGUGUCUGAUGUGUAAAAAUAUGAUAUACUUUGUGCUGUUUCCUCCCUUCCCUUUUGCAUAUUAUUCUGAAACAACAUUAACUAGUUACUUUGCGUCAUUGAAGGUAUGCACUUCCCCUCUAUGUUAGGAGUGAAUAAAAUUAAAAAUAGAUCCUUAUAACAAAGAAAGGCAGAUAGAAUGAUUAAAAAUGACCAAAACAUGUUAGAAACAGUCUCUCAGGUGUAUGCAGAUGGUAAUUACAAAAAUACUUUUUCAAAAAAUGAUCUUCUGUGUCAUGUUUCUGGGAACAAGUCAAGAUGAAUGAGUUUGAUUUUUAAGCAGAAGUAGUAUGUGUUGGUGUCAUCCAUGAAUACAACAAUGAAAAAGGCUCAAAGUUGUUGUUAUUCAGAAACUUCUCUAAGUAAUGGUGGUAAGUACAGGAAAAGGAGCAAUGUCUACCAUUUUCUUUCUAACCUUCGAUUUAACUAUUGUAAUGUUGUAAGCUUAACAGAGACUUACACUUAGGCUUAAUUUCAAGCUCUUCAAUCAUUUUUCCCGGUUGGUGAUUCAGGUGUAUUCUCAUGUCUUAUGUAAACUUAUCAUGAGUGUUGUUGAUUUAUAAUAUAUUUCUUUAUGUAAGCCAUAGCCUUGUCAGUUUGAGUUAUAUGGAAGACAAAUUGUAGGGAAAAAGAGCAACAGAUUACUCAGAAACCUUCUGUGUGAGCUGGGCAUAGUAGUGCAUGCCAGUAGGCUUAGCUACUUGGGAGGCUGAGGCAGGAGGAUCACUUGAUCCCAUUAGUUUGAGGCUGCAGUGAGCUAUGAUUGUGUCACUGUACUCCAAUCUGGACAACAGUGAGACUAUGUCUGUUUUUAAAAAAGAAAGAAAGCUUGUGUUUGAGAAGUGAUACCUCUAGAAUACAGUGAUUUCUAUAAUUUGUCAUGUGUUUGGGUAGUUUGAAGUUUUUCUAUCCUUGUAUCUAAUGGACAUCUGACCAUAAAGAUGAAAAAAUCCUGCACUCAUUAUAAAUUUUAUUUAUAAAAUUGAUAUUUGAGGAGUUGGGGAGGCCAGCUUCUGAAAAAAUAACAGUGUCCCAUAGAAACACCACAACUUAGGAAAAUAUUGUUAAAGUGGAAUUAGGAAUAUCUAGAGGAGGUAAAGCUUUUCAUCUCUCAAAAAAGAAUUAGGGCCAGGCACAGUGGCUGACACCUGUAAUCCUAGCACUUUGGGAGGCCGAGAUGGGCACAUCACUUGGGGCCAGGAGUUCAAGACCAGCCUGGCCAACAUGGCGAAACCCCAUCUCCAAGAAAUAGAAAAGUUAGCCAGGUGUGGUGGCGUGCGCCUGUAAUACCAGCUACUAGGGUGGCUGAGGCAGGAGAAUCGCUUGAACUGGGGAGGUGGAGGUGGCAGUGAGCAGAGAUUGAGCCACUGUACUCCAGCCUGGGCAACAGCAAGACCCUAUCUCAAAAAAAUAAUAAAGAGAAUUAGGACAUGGAUUUGUAUUAAAAUUAUAGGUAGCUCAUUUAAGAGUAUGAAGCCAAUUGCUGUUAGAGCAAGGGUUUUUUUCAGUAGAGGUGUCAGGAUAACCUAUACAGCUCUAAAAGUAUAUGGCUGUUACCUUCCCAUCCCUGUUGAAAUCUCCAGGGUUAGAACCAAGUAUUGUGUUUUUAAAACUAUAGGUGAGUCUACAAGAGUUGGGUGGAGUAGUCCUCUACAUCCUGUGUUUGUAUUUUUGCAGUAAGUCACACAAUAACAAAAGCUUUGAGAAAGAUUUUAGGUUUAUUGCUAAUUAUACCCAUGAAUGAAUUCUGAAAAUGUGUAGAUAAGGAAUUUACCUGGUGAACGGUUUACACAUGGCAAUUGUGGG